rnacentral:lncRNA from 1 species
GUGGAGACAAGACGUGGGGACUUCUGCACAUCAGCCAGGGGCAAAGGGCUCACAGUCUCUGCAGAGUCCCAGGAAACUGAGAAAGAGAGUGAUGGGCGCUGGCUUUUGCUUUUAGAAAAGCCCGUACUGUGGGACACAUGGACUACAGAUGGGCCUCGUGGGCUAACGCGCAUCCUCCUCACGAGGUGCAGCCUGGAUUUGGGGCUAAGCUUUCGGCGGCAGCUGGAUUUGGCCAGCAAAAUGGAGAGCAAAGAAGCUUGGGACGGAGAGGCGCACUUAGUCACACUGGCUUGAAGGCUCCUCCUCCCCAUCUGGAUAUUUUCACCCCUUAACACUCCAAGUCCUGCCCCAAAGUGGCCUUGGAGCCAGCUGACAGCAAACUUGAGUCCCCUGCUCCCAAGUCUUCGCUUCUAUCUUUAAUGAACUCCCUCUGAGCCAUCAGCCCUGACG